CUUUUCCAACCUAAAUGGUUCUAUAUUGCAUGAUAACCUCCGGCCUGUAGUCCCAUCUUUUGGCAUCAGAAUCUUGGUGAUUUUUUGGUUGAGCUGGCAAUUGCAGUGGUUCUAGGCUUGGUUUUGGGGGUUGUUUGGGUGGGUUUUGGUUUUGGGAGAAGUAUUGAACACCUGUGCUUUAAUCACCUUUCUGCCCUCUGUGUCUCUACAGAACUUGGUCACCUCCCCCUGCCAUCCCUUCUGAGCUGAGGCAUCUUCCCAAACCCUGCCACCCCUUUCCUGAGCCGAGGCAUCUUCCCACACAGAGGCAGGAGCUGUGCAGUAUGCCAAAUCACUGAAAUAAGGAGGAUGGCUGGCUGAGAGCACGCAGGAGCGGCAGCGCUAGCAGCAGAAGAGGAAACCCACAUCUCCCAAGCACCAGACCAGUAGCUCCUCCAGGGACUGCUGGUUUUGCUCUGGUUGCUGCGUGAUGCUCAACUCUUCUGUCCUGAAGCGGAGCCUGUACUGGUGCCAGUGUAGCUAAUGGAGAAAACCUCAGUGUUUUGGAGGUCUGUACCACAGUGUGCUCUCUGCUUGAGACUGCUUGGAAAGUACUGGAGGUUAGAAAUUCAAGCUCUGUGCAUACAGGUUUUUGCAUUAUAAGAAGAAAAAGUGAAGUACUUCAAUGUUCAGAGCACCUGAAGGGCAGGUAGGUACAAAACGUUGGUGUCCUUGCAUCUGCGAUGGGUUUGGUAUGUGAUCGAAGUUUACUUACUGCUCUUGCCCUAAUGCACUUAAGACCUCCCUGAGUUUGAAAAGUGCUUUGAGAACUUGAGAUGCUCAGGUCUUUCUAGAAAGAUAAAGCAGAAAUUGCUAUAUUCACCUUCUCUUUCAGACCUUCUAUUGUAACUGCCUUCUGUGAGCACCAAAUUUAUACGAAAAAUUUAUAAAGCAUUAAAAAGUCAUUGCAGUCUGUCUCCAUUCCCCCACUGAUUGCUGCAGCUUCUCAGUUUUGUACUCAGUUUCCAUCACUUGGGAGACACAUACAUCAUGC
rnacentral:lncRNA from 1 species